rnacentral:tRNA from 1 species
GCCUAGUUGGCUCAGUGGGUUAAGCGUCUGACUUCAGCUCAGGUCAUGAGCUCACAGUUUGUGGGUUAGAGCCCUACAUCUGGCU